rnacentral:rRNA from 1 species
GAGUUUGAUCCUGGCUCAGGAUGAACGCUGGCGGCGUGCCUAAUACAUGCAAGUCGAACGAAACUUCUUUAUCACCGAGUGCUUGCACUCACCGAUAAAGAGUUGAGUGGCGAACGGGUGAGUAACACGUGGGCAACCUGCCCAAAAGAGGGGGAUAACACUUGGAAACAGGUGCUAAUACCGCAUAACCAUAGUUACCGCAUGGUAACUAUGUAAAAGGUGGCUAUGCUACCGCUUUUGGAUGGGCCCGCGGCGCAUUAGCUAGUUGGUGGGGUAAAGGCUUACCAAGGCAAUGAUGCGUAGCCGAACUGAGAGGUUGAUCGGCCACAUUGGGACUGAGACACGGCCCAAACUCCUACGGGAGGCAGCAGUAGGGAAUCUUCCACAAUGGGCGAAAGCCUGAUGGAGCAACGCCGCGUGGGUGAAGAAGGUCUUCGGAUCGUAAAACCCUGUUGUUAGAGAAGAAAGUGCGUGAGAGUAACUGUUCACGUUUCGACGGUAUCUAACCAGAAAGCCACGGCUAACUACGUGCCAGCAGCCGCGGUAAUACGUAGGUGGCAAGCGUUAUCCGGAUUUAUUGGGCGUAAAGGGAACGCAGGCGGUCUUUUAAGUCUGAUGUGAAAGCCUUCGGCUUAACC